rnacentral:RNase_P_RNA from 1 species
CCUGCAAAACGUUCUAUCGCUGUCCCGACAAGCCGGGACGGAGGAAAGUCCGGGCAACAUAGAGCAUCCUGCUUCCUAACGGGAAGGCGCCCGCAGCGGGCGACAGCAAGUGCCACAGAAAAUAUACCGCCUUGCCAGUAAUGGCGGGUAAGGGUGAAAACGUGAGGUAAGAGCUCACGGCUUUUACGGGCGACCGUAAUUGCGGUAAACCUCAGGAGUUGAAAGACCAAAUAGGUCCUGAAAGUGGAGCUGCUCGCUCCCGUAUCCACCAUCGGUGGGUCGUCAGGAUGGGUAGGUUGAUUAAGAUUACCGGCAACGGUAAUACCAGAUUAAUGAUAGAAGCGCCCUCAAAGGCGAACAGAACCCGGCUUACAGGUUUGCAGCUGUA